CCUACGGGUGGCAGCAGUGAGGAAUAUUGGUCAAUGGGCGAGAGCCUGAACCAGCCAAGUCGCGUGAAGGAUGACGGCCCUACGGGUUGUAAACUUCUUUUGUCAGGGCGCAACAGCGUCCACGCGUGGGCUUAGCGAGAGUACCUGAAGAAAAAGCCUCGGCUAACUCCGUGCCAGCAGCCCGGGUAAUACGGAGGAUGCGAGCGUUAGCCGAAUUUAUUGGGUUUAAGGGGUGCGUAGGCGGAAUAUCAAGUCAGCGGUAAAAAUUCGGGGCUCAACCCCGUCGUGCCGUUGAAACUGAUGUUCUUGAGUGGGCGAGAGGCAGGCGGAAUGCGUGGUGUAGCGGUGAAAUGCAUGGAUAUCACGCAGAACUCCGAUUGCGAAGGCAGCAUGCCGGGGCCCAACUGACGCUGAGGCACGAAAGCGUGGGUAUCAAACAGGAUUAGAUACCCUUGUAGUC
rnacentral:rRNA from 1 species